rnacentral:rRNA from 1 species
AGAGAGAGACAUGCGCGCAUAUCAAUAAGCGGAGGAAAAGAAACUAAGCAAGGAUUCCCUUAGUAACGGCGAGUGAAGCGGGAAGAGCUCAAAUUUGAAAUCUUCAAGGUUUUACCUUGACGAAUUGUAGUUUAAAGAAGUGUUUUCUGCUGAAGUUUUGGUAAAAGUUCUUUGGAAUAGGACAUCAUAGAGGGUGAGAAUCCCGUAUUUGACCAUUAUUUUCAGCUUUGUGAUACACUUUCAAAGAGUCGGAUUGUUUGGGAAUGCAGUCCAAAAUGGGUGGUAAAUUUCAUCUAAAGCUAAAUAUUGGCGAGAGACCGAUAGCGAACAAGUACCGUGAGGGAAAGAUGAAAAGAACUUUGAAAAGAGAGUUAAACAGUACGUGAAAUUGUCAAAAGGGAAGCGUUUGACACCAGUGUUGUUUUUUCUCGAAAAUCAAUUAAAAAUGGCUCGAUUUUGUAUUGCUGAGACCUUAAAAGCUCACUGUACAUUUUUCGUGUCUUUUUUAAUGCACUUUUCGUUUAACAAGUCAACAUCAGUUUCUUUUGUUGUAAAAGGGUCAUUGGAAGGUGGCUUUCUUUUCCGGAGAAAGUGUUUAUAGCCUUUGGCCUCUGCAAUCGGAGAGACUGAGGUCUGCAGCGUAGACUCUUCGGGGUUAGAUACAUUUGUGCUAAGUUAUAGCUUUUUAUAGACAACUUGUUGACUAUAAUUAGUCUUGUAGCUUACUCGCUUAUGCUAUUUUACCUACGCUUAGGAUGUUGAAGAUGUAGCACAUCAU